CAAGUUGUCUUUGCUUCUCCUAGACGUAUUGGAACGAUACAGAGAAGAUUAGCAUGGUCCCUGCGCAUAUCGUACAAUGAAAUAAGACUUUAAUUAAAUUGAA
rnacentral:snRNA from 2 species